GCUUGGUUGAGGUAGUGGUUAACCUGUCUGCCUCCCAGAUUGAAAAUAAUAUUCAAAGUGCGCAGGAAACGGGGAUUCGAAUUCCCCACCAAGCA
rnacentral:tRNA from 1 species